UCCAAACUACAUCACCACCCUGAUCACACUCCAUCUAGUCUGAUCUUGGAAGCUAAGCAGAGUCAGGCCUUAUUAGUACUUGGAU
rnacentral:rRNA from 1 species